rnacentral:tRNA from 3 species
GACAUAUAAGUUGGCUUAUGUUACGGCCAUAAGAGUGGAUAUUUAUGUAUCGUAUGUUU